AGAACGAACGCUGGCGGCAUGCCUAACACAUGCAAGUCGAACGCUCUUGGUUUCGGCCAAGGGAGUGGCGCACGGGUGAGUAACGCGUGGGAACCUGCCCUGGAGUGGGGGAUAACCGAGGGAAACCUCGGCUAAUACCGCAUACGACCUGAGGGUGAAAGAUUUAUCGCUCUAGGAGGGGCCCGCGUCGGAUUAGCUAGUUGGUGAGGUAACGGCCCACCAAGGCUAUGAUCCGUAGCUGGUCUGAGAGGAUGAUCAGCCACACUGGGACUGAGACACGGCCCAGACUCCUACGGGAGGCAGCAGUGGGGAAUAUUGGACAAUGGGCGCAAGCCUGAUCCAGCAAUGCCGCGUGAGUGAUGAAGGCCUUAGGGUUGUAAAGCUCUUUCACACGCGACGAUGAUGACGGUAGCGUGAGAAGAAGCCCCGGCUAACGUUCGUGCCAGCAGCCGC
rnacentral:rRNA from 1 species